rnacentral:rRNA from 1 species
CCUACUAUGUUACGACUUAUCUCAUUUUGGUAAUGAAAGCGACGGGCGAUAUGUACAUGAUUUAGAGCUUAUAUCUAACUAAACAUAUUAAAUUUAAUUUACAAUCAAAUCCUCCUUCUAAUUAAUUAUUUGAAUUAAUAUUCCGUAUUAAAUAAAUUUUUAUUGUAACCCAUUUUAACUUAAGCAUUAGCUGCACCUUGAUCUAAUAUAUUUAAUAUUGUUAAUAAUUAUCGUUCAGUAAUUUAUUCUAUAAAAAUUACCUAAUAAUGAUGGUAUACAUACUGCCUUUACAAGCUUAAGUAAGAUUCUUCGUGGUGUAUCGAUUCAAAAACAGGUUCCUCUGACAAGACUAAAUCACCGCCAAAUUCUUCAAAUUUCAAGUACAUAACUUUAAAUACUUAGGGUUAAAAAAUUACUUUUUAGUAU